GAUGAACGCUGGCGGCGUGCCUAAUACAUGCAAGUCGAGCGAACAGACGAGGAGCUUGCUCCUCUGACGUUAGCGGCGGACGGGUGAGUAACACGUGGAUAACCUACCUAUAAGACUGGGAUAACUUCGGGAAACCGGAGCUAAUACCGGAUAAUAUAUUGAACCGCAUGGUUCAAUAGUGAAAGACGGCUUUGCUGUCACUUAUAGAUGGAUCCGCGCCGCAUUAGCUAGUUGGUAAGGUAACGGCUUACCAAGGCGACGAUGCGUAGCCGACCUGAGAGGGUGAUCGGCCACACUGGAACUGAGACACGGUCCAGACUCCUACGGGAGGCAGCGGUAGGGAAUCUUCCGCAAUGGGCGAAAGCCUGACGGAGCAACGCCGCGUGAGUGAUGAAGGUCUUCGGAUCGUAAAACUCUGUUAUUAGGGAAGAACAAAUGUGUAAGUAACUAUGCACGUCUUGACGGUACCUAAUCAGAAAGCCACGGCUAACUACGUG
rnacentral:rRNA from 1 species